CCAUUGAAGGAUUGGAGCAGCACUGAACACAUUUCAUAAUCAAGAAGACCCAGCCAGCCACCUCUUCACCUGAGGGAGAAACUGCCCAGCCCUGUCUUCCCCCAGUCAAAUAACCAUUCCAUGUGGCAGCAGCAUGUGGGUGGACAAGUUCCAGGUGCCUUGGGAAAAAAUAAGGCCCCUUUCUUACCAUUGAUGCUGGAUGUUGGAGACAUACCAGGAAGAUGCAGUGGCUCUGGUAGCAGUGGUC